GAUGCCAUAAGUCUUCCUUACCGAGGGAAAAAGCAUUGGGACUACUUUACCCACCCUUAUUAGCAACCUCAUCAUAAAGAGGACCCAUAAAGACAAUAUGCGGAUCUUCUCCUUGCCUUCCUUACAGCUACGAGAGCACGAAAGGUGCUUCUGAAAGCUGAGAGAAAGACACCAGGAUCUACUGCCACAGUAUGAUACCAAUCAACAUACUUGACCCACUGCUGUCCCCUUUUACUCACAAUGGAAAGAAAAGAGAUGCAGAAAGAAGAGUCUAAAGAAAAGAAGAGAAUAUAUAACGAUUAUAGCCGUGUAUGUAGUAGGAAGAGGAAAAAAAGAAUUAAUACAACUAUGUUGUCAACUAUUUAUGCUCAUUGCUAGAGUGAAAUAAGUUUCUUCAUGCGCUUACGAAUAAGCAAAAAGAAUAGAUUCUUACUCAAGUAGUUUGGUUUGUAGUGUAUUGACUCUAGUAGUGUAGUUAGCAUGCCUUCCGUUCCUUGCUUGCUUAUGCACUUUUUAAUUAAAGACGACCUUUCAAUUAAUUAUUGACUGGAUAAAGUAGUAUUAGUUAAUAUACGCUGAUUCAGACAAAUCACAAAUAAGAGACAGUCUUUUUCUAUACUGUAUGCUAGGACAGACCCGUAGGUGAGCACAAGCACAGCCGGCCUUCCACCUCUUUAUACUUAUGUUUAGCAGUGUACCUGGUCUUACUUUUUAAAAAGUUUACGCUUGUGUCCCAAGCUUACAAGUUCGAAGAAGAGUAUUGUAUUGACCUCUUGCCUAUUAUUGCUGGGCAAAAGCAGUUUGAUAGGAAGAAGUCCGUAUUUCUACCGAAAAGUAGUUACAAAAGGAGUCUUGCAUAAGUUGUUGACGUUGCUUCCGGAGAAGUAGUUAGUUUCCAGAACAGAGCGAGAAAGAAGAGAAAGAGAGGUACGCACUGUGAAAGAAGCCUAUAUGCCAAAGCAUUAUUACCUUCUUUCUUAGCCUCUAGCUCUUCAUGACCUGUUGUGUCUGCCCUCGACUUAGCAAAUAGAAAGGUUUCGCAGAUGAAGAUUAGGAUGCACUGAACACUUUUCCAGAUCUGGUUUUUGCGGCAUAAGUGCACUGAAAAAUCUUUGAUUCUCAUCUCGUUUCACUUGCAUUUUCUUUCGUUCAGUCUCGCUCUCGUUCUAAAGUGGAAUCGAACCACUCACCCCGUUUGGAUUUAGAGUCCAAAGGACCCAGGCCUAGCGAACGAAAGAGGAUUUACAGUACCACGCCCACUGCCCUGCCUGAUCCUUUUGAUUGCUUUAUUUUUAUAUGAUUUUUUGAGCAACUAGCGCGAAAGCCGUUGCGCGUUAGCGCAUUCUCCACCACACAUUUUUAUAUGAUUUUCUGACGUGCGAAGUGCUCAGAAUAAUCCAGGUCGUUCAACCCCCGGAUGUAGCCACUAACGUGGUUCACCGGGUUACCAAAGGGACGCUUGGCUUGAAGAGUUUUAUGAGCAUAGUCAUCGAACUUCACUAUACUAUUAGGUUUGUCAUGACAUCUUCCCUCUAACUGAGUUAUUUUUAAGAAUGAAUCAGGGUUUUUGCGCUCCUUGGUAUCAGGCCUAUAAGCGCUUUAUAGAUAAGUGUCAACCUCAUAUUGCUACCAAUUUGGCUUGCUAGCGAGGACUUGCAAUUUAUGCUUUUAAAGAAAAUGGAUUUACAGCUAAGGUUGAGUCCACCGGGUUGGUUUGAUGCAAAGCACCUAUUUUGAGUCUUGAUCCAGAGGAUUGGAAGCUAAUAUUACUUAAUUAAGUCGGUCUUCCUUCUCUUGUGCACUCUUCUUAUUCUUUCUCAACCUGUGCUGGGCUUGCUGGGAAAUGUAUAAGGUGGUCACCCAAGGACUUUAUUUGGGUAGAUAUUGGGGAAUGCCAUAGAUUCUGUUCAGUAUCAUGGUUUCUUUUACUUUUUUAUUGGCGUCCGGCGCAUGCAUACAACCAUUCCUUCUUCUCCUCGGAACGUCAGGUCGGUCGUGCCUCCUCUCAUAAAUCUACUAUCUCUAAUUGGUAGAGUGAAAUAGAGUACUCAAACAAAGUGAAAGAGCUACACCCAGAAAUGCGAGUCCACUCACUACUCGACUACCGACUUUGAAAUGUGAAACAAUUCUUUCAUUCAGUCAGGCUAAAAUGAACACAAAUAAAAGAAAAGGCAACUCAUCUAUUCAUUCAACGAAAAAAUGUCAGUCAAAGUAAGUCAAUGAAAAAGCCCCUUACUCCAGUCAGUUAGUUAAUCUUAACUAGGAAAUGCAAGUAAGGAGCUAAAAGCCCUGCUCCUCUUGGUUGACCACCAUGGUCUGCAGCUCCUGCCUUUCUUUACCCUUCCACUUUCCUUCAACCUAGUGAUGAAUGAGCCCGAUAAAACCAGCCAGAAUGAGGAAUCUUUGAAAUUUAUGCAUUGGAAAAGAAGGGAGCACAUACCGUAAGAACAAGCCUUCUCAUCUGUAGGGAGAGCUGCCCAUUAUUCUUCUUCGAGAGGAA
rnacentral:lncRNA from 1 species